CUCACUACCGUUGUGAGCACGAAGCGGUUGGUUACCGAAGGGAACAGCGGCUGUGUGGGAGCGUUUUCAGCUGCCAUGCCGGUACCGCUGUUCCGACCACCUUCAUCACCGCACGCCCUCGCUACUCCAUCGGAUCUCUUCCGCUAACACAAGCCCCGGCGUUCCCAAACACCCACGGGCCUUCCGACUGACAGACCGCCCAUCAGAGGUGCUGCUGGGGCGUUUAUCCUUCUUUCACUCCAGUCACACGACUCACCUGCUCAACUGCUAAGACCAGCUGAUGGACUCAAACUUGGUUCAGGAACUUUGCUCUCCUCAGUCAAAAAGUAGCACAUUCCUCAAUGUCUACAUGUCCUUAUGUCUCAAGUUUAUCUGUGUCCCUUUGUUCAUUUUUCUGGAUGUCCUAGGUUUGUGUCUUCCUGUGUCCCUGUCCAACAACCAUAAUUAAGUGUGUUUUUGCGAGUAUGUCAGAAACACCACAGCUUCACGAGGACUUGCUUCUGCCUUGUGUCAUAUUUGAAUCUGUUUUGCAAGUUUUAGUUAAAUCCUGAUCCAGUCUGAUGUGAAGCAGAGACCCCCAAAGGUCAUCACUCACCUUCUGCACCUGCAAUACAUACACAUCUAUCGUUGUUACACACACACACACACACACACACACACACACACACACACACACACACACACACACACAGAAGGAGGUGGAGUGUGUAAUCUGUUGUUUGUUCCUUAGAACACCUCUACAGAACUGAAACCAAAACCUGCACAACACCAGGAAGUAGAGGGACUGGAUAACACAAUCCCACACACACCAGUGACAGCUCUUCCAUAGGGGCACUGCCCUUGCUGAUGUGAAAUAAAAUCAGGUAUUUACAAUAGGGAUGCUGAUCCGAUCACGCAAUCAGAUCAGAGUAUCCCUAUUGUAUACAUUUACAAAUGAUUGGAAUCAGGUGAAACAGAUCAGAUUAACGUUAUAAAACCUUAAAAGGCUGCAGCGUGUUGUGCGCUCUGCUGAGAAGGUCAUUGGCUUCAAACUCCCCUCCAUACAGGACCUGUACACUUCCAGGACGCUGAGGCGUGCAGGUCUGAUCACAGCUGACCCGUCUCACCCUGGACACAGUCUCUUUGACUCACUCCCAUCUGGCAGGAGGCUCCGAUCCAUUCGAACCAGAACCUCUCACCACAAAAACAGUUUCUUCCCCUCUGCGGUCGGACCCAUAAACAAUCGUAGACCUGCCCACUCCAGUUUCUUUGUUCUAGUCACAUGACCCUAAUGCUGUGUUUGCACCUGAACUGACCCGCUCUGACCAGUACCUACACAGACUUGUAUAAAGUAGUUGCCUCUCUAAUUAUUGCCUCCCUGUAUUAUUAACAUUUCAUUGUUUAUUUCUUAAUUCUAAUUUUGCUUAUCAUUUAGUUUUUCUUGCACCAAGUACCGCAGCAAUCCCUAAUGUUGUGAGUCUCGCACACAUGGCAAUAAAACCUUCUGAUUAUGCAAUCAACAAGCAAGACCUCUGAAUUGAAAAUGACCUCAUUUGAACAAGUCCCUCUACAUCAAUACUCACUGCUGCAUGGACAAAAACACUAAUGUCACAAAAUGUAUGGCAGGCAGGGAAUUCAGACACCAUAACAUGUAGCUGUCUGCUAGCAGGCUAAUGCAGAGCUAACGUGUCGCCUUAGGAGAGCAAAAAUGUCUGCAGUGUGAUCAUAACCCGACAGUGAUGGCAGUGCAACAGCCACUUGUAAUGUGAGCAUAUUGGGAAUUUUGCGUAGUGGAAAAGACAAAGCUGCAUUCCACACUUCCAAUCUGAUAUGCCACCUAAAGAACACUUCAUUAUCCUGAGGCUUUUCACUACAGUAAAUCACCCAUCUCCAUUUAGUCCUAGUUCACCUUAACAAAAGACAUCCUGCUCAACACCCCUAGGUCACUGCAGCAACUCAGACAAAAACACAGAGCCAGCCUACA